rnacentral:rRNA from 1 species
CAACGAACGCUGGCGGCGCGCCUAACACAUGCAAGUCGAACGAGAGACUCUUCGGAGUAGUAAAGUGGCAAACGGGUGAGGAAUACAUGGGUAACCUACCCUUGAGAAGGGAAUAACCCGCCGAAAGGCGAGCUAAUACCCUAUACGCUACAACCUCCAUGGGGGUUGUAGGAAAGCUGAGCCGUGGGCUUGGCACUCAGGGACGGGCUCAUGUCCUAUCAGCUUGUUGGUAGGGUAACGGCCUACCAAGGCAACGACGGGUAGCUGGUCUGAGAGGAUGAUCAGCCACACUGGCACUGAGACACGGGCCAGACUCCUACGGGAGGCAGCAGUGAGGAAUAUUGCGCAAUGGGCGAAAGCCUGACGCAGCGACGCCGCGUGGGGGAUGAAGGUUCUCGGAUUGUAAACCCCUUUCGUGAGGAAAGAGAAAGUGGGUAACCACUUAGACGGUACCUCAAGAAGAAGCCACGGCUAACUUCGUGCCAGCAGCCGCGGUAAU